rnacentral:rRNA from 1 species
CAUGGAGGGUGAGAAUCCCGUUCGGUUGAUCAGAUUCGCUUUGUGAUACGUCUUCUAAGAGUCAAGUUGUUUGGAAUUGCAGCUUAAAAUGGGAGGUAAAUUUCUCCUAAGGCUAAAUAUUUGCGAGAGACCGAUAGCGAACAAGUACCGUGAGGGAAAGAUGAAAAGAACUUUGAAAAGAGAGUUAAACAGUACGUGAAAUUGUUGAAAGGGAAACGAUUGAAGCCAGUCGUACCGGCGGAUAAUCAGCCUUUUGGGUGUGAUUAUGUGGAGCGUGUUGAGUCUAACCACCUUCAUGCCUGCAUAUUCGUGCACUUUGGGUGUACUUGUCCGUGUGGUAGGUUAACAUCAAUUUCGAUUAUCAUAAAAUGAUUGGGGGAAUGUGGCUUCGAUCUCGUAUUGAAGUGUUAUAGACCCCGGUAGAUGUGAUGAUCGGGAUUGAGGAUUGCAACGAACCCUUCGGGGCCACCUGCCUGGCCUCUGUUGGUCGCUCUGGUGCCGAAAGCUCGCUUACGGUCAUCGGAGUUGAUCGUCAAAAGGUUAGAACGGGUUGAAUUCGUUAAGGAUGUUGACGUAAUGG